rnacentral:lncRNA from 1 species
CUCCCCAUCCUUGUUUUUGAAUAUAACAGUUAUUACCGACUGUCCCCACAGCAAGUGACAAAAAAUUUACUAUUAGAUAUUCGAGAUACCAAAUUUGAAUCCUAAUUAAUUUAUAUUUUCAACUAAGUUUAUUUAUAAAUUAAAUAAACGAAGCAGAUAGCGUGCUAUCUAUCUCUCUCAAAAAAAAAAAACAAUAGCUUAAGUUUUUGGAUAUAAUAAUUAUUCUAUAUAAUUUAAUUUGGUAUUAGAGUAGCAAAUUUUUAAGUUCGCGUGGCACGAGACUCUAGUAUAAUUUAAUUUGUUCCCAUUUAAUUCAAUUGCUGACUCCUAGUAUAAUUUAGGAUUAAUUUCAUACAGGUCCCUGCAAACAUAACGAAUGGUAAUUUCGUUCCUACAAAGUUCAACUUUUAUAUGUUGUUCCUGUAAAAAUUUUAAUAUUUUCAAAUAUGUCCCUUUGGUUUAUUACUAUUAGAAAAUUUUCUAACGGAUUCUAACAGUAGAGAUAUAUUUAAAAAUAUCAGGACUUUUGUAUGAAUAACAUAUGAAAGUUGAACUUUGUAGUAAUAUAUUUGACAUCCACUAUAUUAGCAGAGACAUGUAUGAAAUUAACCCUAUUUUAUAUAUUUUUAUUUUUUUAUUUCAAAUAUAUCCUUUGUAUAUUUCUUUGUUAUUCAAAAAUGCUCCUCCUGUUAGUAUCCGUUAAGUUAUCCUGAAUUAAAUCUGAAUUAAGUUUCUACCAAAGUAAAAAAAAUAGAUUACCUCUUUUGCCCCUAACUUUAGGGCAAAUAAGAGAGAUAAAAAUAUCAAUUUAUUUCGUUCACUAAUUAUGAUUAACUAUUUUAUUUAUAAUUAACUAUAUUUUUUUAACGAAUCCUAAUAGUAAAACUAUAUUUAAAAAUUUUAUAAUUUUUUAAAAAAUAAAUAAAAAAAAGUUAAAUUUUAUAUA